AAAGUACUCCCUCCGUCCCAAAAUUCUUGUCUUAGAUUUUUCUAGAUAUGGAUGUAUCAAGUCACAUUUUAGUAUUAGAUACAUCCGUAUCUAGACAAAUCUAAGAUAAGAAAUUUGGGACAGAGGGAGUAGUUG
rnacentral:pre_miRNA from 1 species